rnacentral:lncRNA from 7 species
AUCUUUUAACUGUGAGGCCGCUCACGCAUGCCAGUUUUUUUUAGAGAAAUGUUAUAUACUACUAGACUUGAGUGUUCCAACGCUUAACUUUUCUCCUCUCCUCUCUUCUCUUUCAAUCCAUCUUCGAUGGGUUUAGAAAGGAGCCGGGGAAGAAGGCAAUCAGGCCCAAGGCUACAGACGGGGGAGGGAAGACACCAGUACACCACUAGAGCGCGGGCGGCGGACGAGGUGUUCGAGCGAGAUUAAAACGAGACAACUAUAGCCAUAGUAGGCCGUAGAGCUCCGAGCCUCCGACCGACAGACCUCGGCUGGGCUGUGCUCUCCCCAUAGCCUAGUGACUUAGUGAGA